UAGCACUCAAGCUUAUUUCAAGGUGGAUAUUGAGUUUAGGUUCAGUUGAAAAUUCAAGAUUGAAAAAUCAACCUGUUACACAGCUUAUUUCAAGGUGGAUAUCGAGUUUAGGUUCAGUUGAAAAUUCAAGAUUGAAAAAUCAACCUGUUACACAGUUUACAGCAAGCUGUAAAAAUUUAGCUUGAAUUAAAAUAAUUUUCCCAAGCUUGAAAUAAACUGUAAUUUCUCUGGGAGGCUGUACAGCAGAUGCGCGCGCAGCAUAGCUUCCAUAGACGUCCACGGGAAGCGCCACAAGCGUUUAUAAGCCUUGCAGUUGCACUGAAUCUGCUAGGUUUAUGGCCAUUUUAUUUUUGUGAUGUGCAUUAAUGAUUGUUGACUGUUGUGAAGUUUGUUUUAUACUGGAAAAUAGUUCGGAAAGUGUGUGGCGUCCCCUGCCUUACUGCUACACCGGGUCUGAAGAAGAUAUAUAGUGUAUUACAGGAUCAUUAUACCAGCAGAAGUCAGCGAUAUUUGAUCCUGCUCUGGUCUGUGUGCUGGGGCCAGAGGGGCUUCAGAAUAAUUAAAUUUUAAAAUAAAACAAUUUUAAACACUUUGAAAAUAAAAUUUUUUAAACAUA